rnacentral:rRNA from 1 species
UACAGAGGGGGCAAGCGUUGUUCGGAAUUACUGGGCGUAAAGGGCGCGUAGGCGGCCUUCUAAGUCGAACGUGAAAUCCCCGGGCUCAACCCGGGAACUGCGUCCGAGACUGGAAGGCUCGAAUCCGGGAGAGGGAUGUGGAAUUCCAGGUGUAGCGGUGAAAUGCGUAGAUAUCGGGAGGAACACCGGUGGCGAAGGCGGCGACCUGGGUGGAUACUGACGCUGAGGCGCGAAAGCGUGGGGAGCGAACAGG